rnacentral:rRNA from 1 species
GACGAACGCUGGCGGCGUGCUUAACACAUGCAAGUCGAACGGAAAGGCUCUGCUUUUGUGGGGUGCUCGAGUGGCGAACGGGUGAGUAACACGUGAGUAACCUGCCCUUGACUUUGGGAUAACUUCAGGAAACUGGGGCUAAUACCGGAUAGGAGCUCCUGCUGCAUGGUGGGGGUUGGAAAGUUUCGGCGGUUGGGGAUGGACUCGCGGCUUAUCAGCUUGUUGGUGGGGUAGUGGCUUACCAAGGCUUUGACGGGUAGCCGGCCUGAGAGGGUGACCGGCCACAUUGGGACUGAGAUACGGCCCAGACUCCUACGGGAGGCAGCAGUGGGGAAUAUUGCACAAUGGGCGGAAGCCUGAUGCAGCAACGCCGCGUGCGGGAUGACGGCCUUCGGGUUGUAAACCGCUUUCGCCUGGGACGAAGCGUGAGUGACGGUAAUGGGUAAAGAAGCACCGGCUAACUACGUG